rnacentral:misc_RNA from 1 species
GUAUUUUGUUUUAAGGCCUUAUCGGCACUAAUUCACGUUCGAUGUUAUAAAAAAAGGGUUUGUGUAAAAAGAGGGGGGGAUCCCGAACAAACGGAAAAACCCCUCAGAGGUGCACAGGUGUAUGGAUAAGGAUUGUCGGAGGCGAGCACAUGCAAUAAAGCCAGCAUCAACCUCCUUUACAAUUCAUUAAUGAUCCUUCCGCAGGUUCACCUACGGAAA